ACAUCAAACACCUGGAGGAGUUGUUCAACUGUGGAUUCUGAUUGAAUAGGGCUGGGAUGGGGCCUGGGAUUCUGUAUUUCUAAUAAGCUCCCAGGUGAUGCCAAU
rnacentral:pre_miRNA from 1 species